rnacentral:ncRNA from 1 species
GCUAUUUGAAGUGGACAAUUGUGCCAUCCACACACCUAGAAAUAGGUCAAAAGAGAUGCAGGAAGUGGUACACCUGCCAGAUAAC